rnacentral:rRNA from 1 species
UACGAAGGGGGCUAGCGUUGUUCGGAAUUACUGGGCGUAAAGCGCACGUAGGCGGACAUUUAAGUCAGGGGUGAAAUCCCGGGGCUCAACCUCGGAACUGCCUUUGAUACUGGGUGUCUAGAGUAUGGAAGAGGUAAGUGGAAUUGCGAGUGUAGGGGUGAAAUCCGUAGAUAUCGGGAGGAAUACCAGCGGCGAAGGCGGCCUUCUGGACGGUGACUGACGCUGAGACGCGAAAGCGUGGGGAGCAAACAGG